ACUAGAUGAAUCCUCUUAAGCAUCCAAUAAAUCCCAAUGAACCUAGGGCUCAACUUACCCUUCUGACCAACCUCAAAACUUUCUUCCAUGGAGAAAGCUUAAGAAAAACUUGAUCCCCAAUACUGAACUCGAUGUCAUUCCGCUUUAAGUCAGCAUAGAACUUUUGUCUAUUCAGAGCUGCCUUUAAUUUGUCCCAAAUUAACCGAAUUUUAUCCUCAGUCUCGAAAACUAAAUCUGG
rnacentral:lncRNA from 1 species